rnacentral:rRNA from 1 species
UACGUAGGGUGCGAGCGUUAAUCGGAAUUACUGGGCGUAAAGCGUGCGCAGGCGGCUUUGCAAGUCAGAUGUGAAAUCCCCGGGCUCAACCUGGGAACUGCAUUUGUGACUGCAAGGCUAGAGUACGGCAGAGGGGGAUGGAACUCCGCGUGUAGCAGUGAAAUGCGUAGAUAUGCGGAGGAACACCAAUGGCGAAGGCAAUCCCCUGGGCCUGUACUGACGCUCAUGCACGAAAGCGUGGGGAGCAAACAGG